rfam:Burkholderiales bacterium 70-64 SCNpilot_expt_1000_bf_scaffold_430, whole genome shotgun sequence.
ACGCUUGUCCCAUGUUCCGCUGACUUCGGUCGGCAGCAUGCCCAGGCAGUCUCGAUCUUCAAGACUGCGACGCGGUUCCGACCGCGUAGAUCACACCAGUUCGCACCGGCAUCCACGCGCGAACGCCCAUCGGCCUGCCGAUGGUGAUGC